GGAUUAGAUACCCGGGUAGUCCACGCCGUAAACGAUGGAUACUAGCUGUUGGAGGUAUCGACCCCUUCAGUAGCGAAGCUAACGCGUUAAGUAUCCCGCCUGUGGAGUACGAUCGCAAGAUUAAAACAUAAAGGAAUUGACGGGGACCCGCACAAGCGGUGGAGCGUGUUCUUUAAUUCGAUGAUACACGAAGAACCUUACCAGGGCUUGACAUCCCGAGAAUUACUCCGAAAGGAGUGAGUGCUUUAUUGAAUUCGGUGACAGGUGCUGCAUGGCCGUCGUCAGCUCGUGUCGUGAGAUGUUUGGUUAAGUCCAUUAACGAGCGCAACCCUUGUGAAUAGUUGAAUUUUUCUAUUCAUACUGCCCCGGCAACGGGGAGGAAGGAGGGGAUGAU
rnacentral:rRNA from 1 species